rnacentral:snoRNA from 1 species
CCCGUCCCCCGCCCCAUCAGAUCUAAACACUGGUCUGAUUGGUCACAAAAGGAUGCAGGGUAACAUUGAAACUGAUUUCAAGGUGUUUGUAGCACAUGGGCGAGUGUCAAACAGUU